AAAGUAUUCCCUCCGUCCCAAAAUUCUUGUCUUAGAUUUGUCUAGAUACGGAUGUAUCAAGUCACAUUUUAGUAUUAGAUACAUCCGUAUCUAGACAAAUCUAAGACAAGAAAUUUGGGAAAGAGGGAGUAGUUG
rnacentral:pre_miRNA from 1 species